AGAGUUUGAUCAUGGCUCAGAACGAACGCUGGCGGCAGGCUUAACACAUGCAAGUCGAACGCCCCGCAAGGGGAGUGGCAGACGGGUGAGUAACGCGUGGGAACGUGCCCAAAGGUACGGAACAACUCCGGGAAACUGGAGCUAAUACCGUAUGUGCCCGAGAGGGGAAAGAUUUAUCGCCUUUGGAUCGGCCCGCGUCAGAUUAGCUAGUUGGUGGGGUAAAAGCCUACCAAGGCGACGAUCUGUAGCUGUUCUGAGAGGAAGAUCAGCCACACUGGGACUGAGACACGGCCCAGACUCCUACGGGAGGCAGCAGUGGGGAAUCUUGGACAAUGGGCGCAAGCCUGAUCCAGCCAUGCCGCGUGAGUGACGAAGGCCUUAGGGUUGUAAAACUCUUUCGCCGAGGACGAUAAUGACGGUACUCGGAGAAGAAGCUCCGGCUAACUUCGUGCCAGCCGCCGCGGUAAUAC
rnacentral:rRNA from 1 species